GAUGCAUUUCUCGCAUCUGCAGAGCCCCUGCUUUUAUUUCAGGACACAUAGAGACCUUAGCAGGGGCCGUGCUCUCUGUCUCUUGGGGGGAGGAAACUUCUCCCUGUUCCCUCUUUUCCCCACCUCUUCUUACUGAGUGUGACCUCAUUCUGUAUGCAGCGUCCGUUUUAUCUCUUUUUGUCAGCUAUCUUGUCUCUGUCCCCUCCCAAGCUCCUGUUCAUCUCCAGCCUGCCAAAGAGCCAUAAAAUAGAGGUGCUUGGGUUGGAAGGGACAUUAAAGAGCAAGGAGUCACUUAUAGAAUUGUAAAAACCAGCAAAACAAACAAACAAACAAACAAACAGUAUAAGCACAGAAUUAAAGAAGCCGACACCAUACUGCCAUUAGUUAGGAGCUCAUUGCUUGUGUUCCAGUUGAGAAGGGCCACAGAUCAUUUUGUCCAGCCGCGAAUGAGUGACGGUCACGUUCUCUCCAUCCCCAUUCAAGUGGGAUUUUUCAUCAUGAGUCAUGGGUUGCAAGCACUGUGGAGAAAUUUUCCCUUGAUGAAUGGAUUCAGCAUGUACGAAGGAAUGAGCAGGGUUGCUACCAGGAGCUCAUGGCGAGAAGAUCCCUGUGGAUAUGGGUUGCCCAGCACUCACACUGGAUUCUUCCACAGCCGGUGCCUUCCAAAUGCAGCCUGGAUUGGGAUCUGGGGAAAAAGAGAAAGCAAAGAUCCGGUAAAGCCCCUUCACUACUCAUGAAAACCAGUCUUAGUUGAUCUGCCACCAACACGACAUGUACUUCCCAUUCUCAAAGCACCAUUGAAUUUUUGUACGUGGGAAGGUUCCAACGCCCACAGAUUAGCCAUGGGCAUGGUGUUACUGAAACAAGCAGGACUGUGCGGUGAAGUAUCGAAGAGGGAGAGACUGCUGCGUAAGCAUCCACAAUGCCAUCAUCUAAUCUGAAGAAGCUCAAAAGAAGAUGGAGGAGGUCAGCGAACGGACUGCUGAACUGUUUCAUGUUCUGCUGCCAAAGGACUGUUCGGAGGCAUGGAAUCCAAAUUCCUGGUUGGUAUCCAUGCUGAGAUUGUGGAGACUCAUGGGAUGGGAGAAAUGGUUGGCACAGAAGGCAAUAGCAGUGUUGGUUGGGUUUACGGUUUUUAUGAAAAGCAUUUUCAUAGUCCUGUGUGUGAUUGAUUACAUGCUCGCUCUCUUCACUUCCUUUCUUUCCUCUUCCUCUGUUCAUUAAGUAUAGAUCACCACACUAGAAGAAGGCGAACUGUACAGGAACGAGAUUCAAUUGAUUGUUUGAGCCAUGGGUAGUGUAAGAGACUGAGAAGCAAGAGGGUUAAUGUCCCACAUGCUUCCUAGAAGAGUGAAAUGAGGUCACCACAGUAAGGAGAUAAGGAGUAGAUCGAGGAGGCGCCUACUGAAAUGAGGUAGCAUCACUGCAGAGGAUAUCAUCUUGCGAGACUAUGAAGACCUGUUGAGUAACAAUGGGAACUUAGUGGGGGAGGGAGAAAUCUACCAAAUUACACCUGCACACCACUGAGGAUCAGCUAUCAGUUGUAUUGGCAGGGAGAGAGUGAGGCCACCUACAGCCCCUCCCACCCAUGUCAUGUUGGAGGAGGCAAGACUACCACCCAGACCAGAGAAACAUUUACAACUUGUGCCUGAACUCUUCCUUAGGUCGUGACAAGGCGUUUCAGCCGACUGAGUGUCCCUGGUCUGUGCCCCUUCUGUUUGUGGUCAUGGUUGCUAUCACCCACCCGGUGUUCUGCUCUUCAUGUGUUUUUCAGGUCAUGGAAUUGUAACACUGAGGCCUAACAUGGUUUAAACACCUAAGCAAGACAUAUGUCAAUGCAGCAGUUGAGGCUAUCUGUCACACAGCCCCCAUCCUACCCUCUCCUCUAACAGACUCUAGCUAAAGUUUGGGAAAAUCCAGCCUGAUCUUACUUGUAUGUUUUCAUGGAUUCCUGACCCAAGAGAGUGCUUAUGUUGACUGCAUGUUUUGGAAAUCCAGGUGGAGAAGGGCCCAGAUCUUGUACAGAUGAUGAAACUGAGUAAUGAGCAACUUGUCAAGGCUGGAGCCUCUAUCCACAUACCCACCAACAGCACUGAAGCCUCUGCAGCUCUUGUUAGCAUCUGGGAGCUCCACUGAAACUCAGGUUUGGCCCUUGUAUCUGUGCUCUUAGCCAUGUUUGAUGAUCUCAAGCACCACUGCAGUCAUGCCUGUGGUUGGCCGUGGGUCCUCACAAUGUGUUCGUAAAAGGCUGGGAGGGAAGCUUUAUUUAAUGUUUAUUUAUUGUCAAUAUCUGCCGACCUGUUCAUAAUGAGGAGUUAAUUGGUGAAACCUUUUUUGCUGUGGUGCAUAUCAGUUCUGAAGGUGAAAGCACAAUUUAAAUGCUAAGCACAAUGACCAGUUGGUUGUUGUGUCCCACUAUCUGUAACUACACCCUCUACAAUCUCCUUUAUUUUUUCCCAGUUGCUUUUAAACCUGAAACAGUGCAUUACUUAUCCAGAACAUUUUCGAUACAAGGUUUCACUUUCAGUUCAUGUACUCUGUGCUUUCCUUUUGUAUAUCUUCAAUAAAUUUCCACGUUAAUUCCUCUCAUUUGUCCUCCAAUUCAUCUUCCCUGUGUUAUCCUUCAGUUUCACGGCAGAAUCAGUGGGAUCACAUGAAGUUCAUGCCAUAAACAGUGAUGGUAGAAGUAAGAAGGAAGAGCCCCAAAUGCUGGAAGAGAAAACACUACAGCUAAUGGUUUUACUGGGCUUUGUGUUCCUAAUCAUGUUUGGCAUUUGAGUGAGAGGAGUACUUUGCCCCCUUAAAAUCCCAACAGAAUUCAGCCACCAGUUCUUAUAAACACACGUAUAUUGUGCUGAUUGAUCAAAUUUCAGCCCAAUCUGCGGAGUCCAUCCAGGUGACUGAAAAGACACAGCAACUGAGGAUUCUAGAUAUUGUGUGAAGCUGUAAGCUAUGCUGAGGAUUAGAAAUUGAAGAUGAUAUGCCAUGGUGAUGGCUCACUCCCUUCUUAGGUAAUAAUAGUGCUCCAAUUGUAACCACCAAUGUGCUGCCAGGGUGGAGACGCCUUGCCAGUAAAAUAGGUUAGUCUGCUGAUGAAGAUUUCAAAAGACACAGCAUCACUUGCUAACCAUUAACAAUCCCUACAUCUGGCCUCAGGUUGAAGAGGAGGUUAAUAAUUCAUCUUGCCGUGAGAUAAAGCACAUCAAAUAUGGCAGCCCUUGAGGGAGUGCUCUAAAGACUCGGUGCAAGGUGUUUGGACCACAGCCUGGCCGUGACACAACCUGAACCUUUGCCUUUGCUCUCUGUUCAUCUGUGCCACUCAAUAACUGCUGUGAGCUGGGGGAUGAUGAUUUCUCAUCAUGGAGAAAUACGUCUUUCUGAAAGAGCGGACAAGUGAAUCUUCUGUGGGAGGAAUGUUCUCAUUUCUGAACAGAAGAGGUGUUAUUGUGAGCACAAAGCUGUGAUCUGGCCAGGCCAGAGAGUACUGAGAAAGGGGGAUGCAAAAAUAGCGCAGGCUGAUUCUGAGCAAGCAGGAGGUUCAUCGCUCACCACAGAGUGAGUUCUCAGCACAUGGCCACAUUUUGUGAGUCUACAGGUCGUGUCUACCCCUUCUGUUGAUCAUCUCCACAGGCAGAUGCAGGAGUUCCAUACAGAAGUGUGGGGAGAGACACUGGUUCAUUUUCCUGCACAGACAGUAAAUGAAAUGACAUUUCUUUGUAGUGACAACAACAGUAAUACUGAGAGCAAAGAAGCUUUUGGCUGGUGGAGAUCAGAAGAGUGUGUAGCAGCACAGAAGGCAUUGGGUUUCUCCCAGGCUUCUGAGUGUUGGGAUGAUCCCUAAAGAGUGAGAUGGGGCUGAGAAAGGAGUCAAAGGAGCAAAGGUGCAGGGUGGAGAUGGGGUAAAAUGCAGAAGUGCUACCAUGACGUAUUUAAUGUGAGCUUGUAAACAAGAUGGACAACAUCUGAUUACACUGUUUGAUGGUGACAGGAUAAGGAGAAGGGUUUUCUACUAAAAGAGGAGUGAUUAAGGUUAGUUACUUGAAGGAUGCCGUUGAUUCAGAUGCUGGUGAGGCACUGGCACAAGCUGCCCAGAGGAGCAGUGCAUGACCCAUCCCUGGAGGUGCUCAAGGACGGGUUGGAUGUGGACAUAGGAUUCUAGGAUACGAUGGUUAACUCUUUGAUCUUUAAGGUCCCUUCCAAACAAAAACAUUCCCUCCUAUGACUCUAUGAUUGACAGGGGAUGGACAGGCGGUUGCAAGAAAACAGAGCAAGGAGGAGAGCUGACGCAAAGAGACCGAUGGGACACUGCAUGCAGAAUGAGGGCAUGAUCAGCAAGAUCAGGUGGGCAUAAGGGGGAGAAGGGAGAAGAUUCCUCCCUUUAAGAAACAGGAAACACAGACCAUGAUGAGGUGUCUGACGUCCCCAAAUAAAAGCGGUAGCUCGGCAGACACAACAGAUGCACCAUGGGCUGCAUCACAGUCUCUCACUGUGGGUAACUCUGACAGCUAGAAAAAUACCACAGGACAGGUCCUGGGUUGCAACGCAAACCAGUGUCCAUCUGUAUCCAGAUCACAUCAAAGUAGGCGCUGUGAGAAGAGAUCUCCAAAAGAUGCUGGGGGAAGCGCAAUGGACCAUGGCGUGUCCUCGUGUCCCUGCCCUCCUGCUGCUGGUGGUGGUUGGUACUGGUGUGAACACCCAGAACACUUGCAUCUCCAGGGCUGAUGGUACUCUCCAGGCUCCAGUCCUGUUCCUUAACGCAUCCAGUGCUCAGGAAGGAGAAGUUGUCCUGGCUCGAUGUGUCUUUCAGAAACAGUUUCCUGCUACCCGAAUUGUCUUGUGCAAGGAUGGGUUGGAGGUGUACAGUGUGAAGGUCCAAGAGGGAAGGGUCAUAAACUCCAUGCUGCUGAACAUCACUGAGAGAAGUGCGGGGACAUACACAUGUUUCUACCAGCAGAGGAGCACGAAAAACAGGCUGAGGAGCUCUCCCCUCAGCCCUCCCUUGGACCUGCAGGUCACAGGUGGGACAUGACACCAGGGUGGCGGGGACACAGGGGAUGGGGGGACUGAACACCACAUAGAUUUUCAGGAUCAAGAAAUGCCAUAGAGAGACGUGGGCUCUGGAAUGGUCUCCCUCUCCAUCCCGUGGUGCAGAAAUGGGGCACUGCAGUGCCCAGGCUCAGGAAGCAGGUGCAGGGUUUGGGCACAAUCCCUUUCCUGGGAAGGGAUGCUGCAAGGGUUAUUACAAAAAUGUUUUGAGAAUAAGGAAUGGAAAC